ACUGCUCAGUAACACGUGGACAACCUGCCCUUAGGACGGGGAUAAACCCGGGAAACUGGGUAUAAUACCCGAUAGGUCUCGAUUGCUGGAAUGCAUCGAGAUUUAAAGCUCCGGCGCCUAAGGAUGGGUCUGCGGCCUAUCAGGUAGUAGUGGGUGUAGCGUACCUACUAGCCUACGACGGGUACGGGUUGUGAGAGCAAGAGCCCGGAGAUGGAUUCUGAGACACGAAUCCAGGCCCUACGGGGUGCAGCAGGCGCGAAAACUUUACAAUGCUGGCAACAGCGAUAAGGGAACCUCGAGUGCCAGGUUACAAAUCUGGCUGUCGAGAUGCCUAAAAAGCAUUUCAUAGCAAGGGCCGGGCAAGACCGGUGCCAGCCGCCGCGGUAACACCGGCGGCUCGAGUGGUAACCGUUAUUAUUGGGUCUAAAGGGUCUGUAGCCGGCCGGAUAAGUCUCUUGAGAAAUCUGGCAGCUUAACUGUCAGGCUUUCAGGAGAUACUGUCUGGCUCGAGGCCGGGAGAGGUGAGAGGUACUUCAGGGGUAGGGGUGAAAUCUUGUAAUCCUUGAAGGACCACCAGUGGCGAAGGCGUCUCACCAGAACGGACCUGACGGCAAGGGACGAAAGCUAGGGGCACGAACCGGAUUAGAUACCCGGGUAGUCCUAGCCGUAAACGAUACUCGCUAGGUGUCGGCCACGGUGCGACCGUUGUCGGUGCCGUGGGGAAGCCGUGAAGCGAGCCACCUGGGAAGUACGGCCGCAAGGCUGAAACUUAAAGGAAUUGGCGGGGGAGCAC
rnacentral:rRNA from 1 species